UCUGUGAGAGAUGGUCUUGAACAAGCAUGUCUGCCGCUCUAGCAGGGCCUGGGUGCAGAGGAGUCAGCCUCAGCUCCUUGUCAGCACCCUCGGCUCCACUGAGACCAGGCUAGGUUCUUUUGCCCAGUACACAGCACUACAUCAGAGGGACCCGGACUGUGGAUUCAUUCUCCAGAUGAACUGAUUUCACCCUUCAGAGAGGAGAAGUUGGCUACAUUGGAACAGCAGGCUGCUGGCAUCGGCACAGAAAUAGAUUUGGAGAAUUUAUCUCAUACACGCAUCGUGAGGAGGCGACAAAGACGCACAGGCCUUCCCCGUUAUCCAAGCCCUGCUUAAAUCCUGCCUUGUUCUGACACUAUGACAGCAGAAAGUAGUUUGUGGAUGAAGAGGACAAGGGACCAAGUCCUGACUCUGUCACCCCGGCUAUGGGUGUCCAGAGCUCCCUGCUCUGAAGUUCAUUUGGCACCGCAGUUCUCAGCAGGCUUCCCUUCUUCAUGCUGCAGCCACUUCUGAGUCUUCCCAGCUCUGGCUAUAAAGGAGAAUCCUCUAGGAAGUGUACUGAAAUAGUAUCACUCCUGACCCACUCAAGUAGCAUGUCUGGGAUGGGGCCGGGUGUUGGGAAUGUUUACUGCCCAGGGGUUGGAAGAGCAACUUCAGAUCUCCAUGCCCUGAUUCAUAACUAGUGCACCAGAAUCUGUUCAAUGGAAGGGUGGCUGCAUGGGUAGACGCAUGGACAGGUAGACAGGUGUGUAGACGGAUGGGUGGAAGGGAUGGGUAGACGCAUGGACAGGUAGACGGGUGCAUAGAUGGAUGGAUGGGAUGGGUAGACGCAUGGACAGGUAGACGGGUGUGUAGACGGAUGGGUGGAAGGGAUGGGCCCCCCUAGCACAAAAUUACUUUGUUGCUAUUUCAUAACUGUAAUUUUGCUACUGUUACGAAUUGUAGUAUAAAUAUCUGAUAUGUGACUCCUAAGGGGCCUGUGACCCACAGGUUGAGAACUGCUGUUAGAGAGGAAAUGUUUAUUGGGCAUAUGGUUCCAGAGGGUCAGAGUCUAUGAUGGUGGAUGGAGGCAGCAGGCAUGGUGGCUGGAGCAGAGACUGAGCUCACAUCACAACUGCAAGCACAAAGCUGAGAAAGCAAGCUAGAAAUGGCUCAAGUUUUUAAACUCUCAAAGCCUGCCUCUAGUGACGAACGUUCUCCAAUAAGGCCAUGCCUCAUAGGCCUCCUCAAAGAGCCCCACUAGCUGGGGACCAAGCAUUCUAUGCCUGGACUAUAGCAAACUUUCAUUCAAACCACCACAGGGGGUGCGUGGAUCAUAACCUAAUGCUUCCCUGUAACCACCGGGU